rnacentral:rRNA from 1 species
UCCUACGGGGGGCAGCAGUGGGGGAUAUUGCACAAUGGGGGAAACCCUGAUGCAGCGACGCCGCGUGAGUGAAGAAGUAUUUCGGUAUGUAAAGCUCUAUCAGCAGGGAAGAAAAUGACGGUACCUGACUAAGAAGCCCCGGCUAACUACGUGCCAGCAGCCGCGGUAAUACGUAGGGGGCAAGCGUUAUCCGGAUUUACUGGGUGUAAAGGGAGCGUAGACGGCAGAGCAAGUCUGAAGUGAAAACCCAAAGCUCAACUAUGGGAAUGCUUUAGAAACUGCUCGGCUAGAGUGCAGGAGAGGCA